rnacentral:rRNA from 1 species
AACGAACGCUGGCGGCAGGCUUAACACAUGCAAGUCGAGCGCCCCGCAAGGGGAGCGGCAGACGGGUGAGUAACACGUGGGAACGUACCUUUUGCUACGGAAUAGCUCCGGGAAACUGGAAUUAAUACCGUAUGUGCCCUUCGGGGGAAAGAUUUAUCGGCAAAAGAUCGGCCCGCGUCUGAUUAGCUAGUUGGUGGGGUAAUGGCCUACCAAGGCGACGAUCAGUAGCUGGUCUGAGAGGAUGAUCAGCCACACUGGGACUGAGACACGGCCCAGACUCCUACGGGAGGCAGCAGUGGGGAAUAUUGGACAAUGGGCGCAAGCCUGAUCCAGCCAUGCCGCGUGAGUGAUGAAGGCCCUAGGGUUGUAAAGCCCUUUCGGCGGGGAAGAUAAUGACGGUACCCGCAGAAGAAGCCCCGGCUAACUUCGUGCCAGCCGCCGCGGUAAAAC